UGAGGAAUAUUGGUCAAUGGGCGUAAGCCUGAACCAGCCAAGUAGCGUGAGGGAAGACUGCCCUAUGGGUUGUAAACCUCUUUUGUGCGGGGAUAAAGUGUGGGACGUGUCCCAUAUUGCAGGUACCGCACGAAUAAGGACCGGCUAAUUCCGUGCCAGCAGCCGCGGUAAUACGGAAGGUCCGGGCGUUAUCCGGAUUUAUUGGGUUUAAAGGGAGCGCAGGCCGUCCUUUAAGCGUGCUGUGAAAUGCCGCGGCUCAACCGUGGCACUGCAGCGCGAACUGGAGGACUUGAGUACGCACGAGGUAGGCGGAAUUCGUGGUGUAGCGGUGAAAUGCUUAGAUAUCACGAAGAACUCCGAUUGCGAAGGCAGCUUACCGGAGCGCAACUGACGCUGAGGCUCGAAAGCGCGGGUAUCGAACAGGAUUAGAUACCCUGGUAGUCCGCGCGGUAAACGAUGGAUGCCCGCCGUUGGGAUUUUGAUUUCAGCGGCCAAGCGAAAGCGUUAAGCAUCCCACCUGGGGAGUACGCCGGCAACGGUGAAACUCAAAGGAAUUGACGGGGGCCCGCACAAGCGGAGGAACAUGUGGUUUAAUUCGAUGAUACGCGAGGAACCUUACCCGGGCUUGAAUUGCAGGAGAACGAUCCAGAGAUGGUGAGGCCCUUCGGGGCUCCUGUGAAGGUGCUGCAUGGUUGUCGUCAGCUCGUGCCGUGAGGUGUCGGCUCAAGUGCCAUAACGAGCGCAACCCCUGUCCAUAGUUGCCAUCAGGUCGUGCUGGGCACUCUGUGGAGACUGCCGCCGUAAGGUGUGAGGAAGGUGGGGAUGACGUCAAAUCAGCACGGCCCUUACGUCCGGGGCUACACACGUGUUACAAUGGGGCAUACAGCGAGUUGGAUGUGCGCAAGUACGUCCGGAUCAAUAAAGUGCCUCUCAGUUCGGACUGGGGUCUGCAACCCGACCCCACGAAGCUGGAUUCGCUAGUAAUCGCGCAUCAGCCAUGGCGCGGUGAAUACGUUCCC
rnacentral:rRNA from 1 species